rnacentral:rRNA from 1 species
AGCGAACGCUGGCGGCAUGCCUAACACAUGCAAGUCGAACGAGACCUUCGGGUCUAGUGGCGCACGGGUGCGUAACGCGUGGGAAUCUGCCCUUGGGUUCGGAAUAACAGUUAGAAAUGACUGCUAAUACCGAAUGAUGUCUUCGGACCAAAGAUUUAUCGCCCAGGGAUGAGCCCGCGUCGGAUUAGCUAGUUGGUGAGGUAAAGGCUCACCAAGGCGACGAUCCGUAGCUGGUCUGAGAGGAUGAUCAGCCACACUGGGACUGAGACACGGCCCAGACUCCUACGGGAGGCAGCAGUGGGGAAUAUUGGACAAUGGGCGAAAGCCUGAUCCAGCAAUGCCGCGUGAGUGAUGAAGGCCUUAGGGUUGUAAAGCUCUUUUACCCGGGAUGAUAAUGACAGUACCGGGAGAAUAAGCCCCGGCUAACUCCGUGCCAGCAGCCGCAGUAA